rnacentral:rRNA from 1 species
GACGAACGCUGGCGGCGUGCUUAACACAUGCAAGUCGAACGGAAAGGCCCUGCUUUUGUGGGGUGCUCGAGUGGCGAACGGGUGAGUAACACGUGAGUAACCUGCCCUUGACUUUGGGAUAACUUCAGGAAACUGGGGCUAAUACCGGAUAGGAGCUCCUGCUGCAUGGUGGGGGUUGGAAAGUUUCGGCGGUUGGGGAUGGACUCGCGGCUUAUCAGCUUGUUGGUGGGGUAGUGGCUUACCAAGGCUUUGACGGGUAGCCGGCCUGAGAGGGUGACCGGCCACAUUGGGACUGGGGAACGGCCCAGACUCCUCCGGGGGGCAGGAGUGGGGAAUUUUGCACAAGGGGCGGAAGCCGGAUGCAGCAACGCCGGGGGGGGGAUGACGGCCUUCGGGUUGUAACCCGCUUUCGCCUGUGACGAAGCGGGGGUGACGGUAAUGGGUAAAGAAGCACCGGCUAACUACGU